GUUUGAAAUCUGAAAAUUUAAUAAAAUAAAUAAAAAAAUAAAAAAAUCUCCAUUGUUACCCUUAUUCUUCUUCUUCUUUUUCUUCUUCUUCUUCUUCUCCUUUAUUAUACAGCGAUGCGAUGGCGUUACUAUUAAUAUAGAAAAUUGCAGGUAGCGUGUUGCUGUAUCUUCCUCUCCCAAGCUUUGUUGGCGGCAAAGCAAAUUCUCCAUUGCAAUGGCGCCUCCGAAGCUCUUCCUAUUCACGCUUUCCCUAGCCCUAAUUUUCUCCAUCUCCGCCGCCGACGCCGGUGUUUCCCACGACGAUUCCGUCAAGAUCCAAUUAGAUCAACUCAAUUCCAGGAUCCUAACUCUCGAAUCUCAAAUCAAGGACAAGUCUCAAGAGCUGAAGAAGAAGGAUGAAGUAAUAGCAGAAAAAGAGAAAUUCAUUCAAGAUAAAUCGAGUACCGUUGAAUCCUUGCAGAAUGAGGUUGCUUCUCUACAGAAAAAAGGGUCAUUGGAUGCUCAGGAGGAGGUGGGAAAGGCUCAUGCACGUGCUGGUGAACUUCAGAAGCAGGUGGAGAAUCUUAAAAGGGAACUUGAAAAACAAAACAAAGAGAAAGUAAACUGGGAAACUCGGGUAGCUGAGUUGGAGAAGAAGAUUCAUGAUUUGAACUCAAAACUAGAGGAUAUUCAAAAGGUAAAUGAGGAACAGAAGACAAAAAUUCGUAAAACUGAGCGUGCUCUUAAAGUUGCUGAGGAAGAAAUGGUGAAGGCAAAGCUAGAGGCAAAUUCCAAAGCCAGGGAGCUGAUAGAGGCUCAUGGUAAUUGGCUUCCUCCUUGGCUUGCUGUACACUAUAUUCGCAGUAAGUCCUUGGUUGAGGCUCAUUGGAAUAAACAUGGGAAACCUGUGCUGGAAGUGGUUACUCAGAAGGCCCUGGAGAAAAAGGCACAAGCUGAAAAGUGGGCUGAACCUCAUCUGGAAACAGUUAAAACUAAAUGGAUCCCAGCUGUAAAACAACAGUGGUCUGAGGUGAAAACACAAGCUGAACCUCGUGUGCAAUUAUUGAGAACUAAAUCUUUUGAAGUUUAUGAGACAUCAAAGAAGGCAAUUGAUCCCCACUUUAGCAAUGCAAAAGAGUUUGUAGAUCCUUAUUAUCAGGAAGCAAGAAAGUUAAGCAAGCCAUACAUUGAUCAGGUUGCUGUCGCAGCCAAACCUCAUGUUGAUAAAGCACAAGUGGUUCUAAAGCCCUACACAAAGAAAGUCGUUCAUGCUUAUAGAAAUUUCUUACAAUCGGCCACUACUUAUCAUCGCCAGGUCCAAGCUACUGUCCAGGAGACACUGAAAAAGCAUGAGCUUACUAGACCUCUAGCUACUAAAGAGUUGGAAUGGUUUGCGGCCUCUGCCCUUUUGGCCUUACCUAUUAUUUUACUGGCUAGAGCUUUUUCUGCUAUUUUCUGGUUACAAAAAAGUGAAUAAACCUGCUCGAAGUGGAAACACCCAUCACGCUCGCCGUAAAGCUAAGCGAGUGCAUCCAGACAAAUAGAUCAUGUGAAGUUGGAUUCCUGCUUUAAUUUUUGGGAAGAGAAAUUCAGAUGGGGUUUUCCUGUUUUGAUGGGUUUAUUUGGAGCUUUACUGUGGAGCUGUGGAGUUUAAGUAUUUUGCUUCUCUUUUUUUGGGUGAGGCAAACAUUAGGAUGUAUCACUGUAGAGCUGGGCACACAAUAUGCUUAGGCAUUCAUGUAUUAUGGUUGUUAUAUUUGUUAUUAGACCUCUUACUCCCUCUUUUCUGGCCUUCAUUUUUCUUUCCAUAAAUUCUCGACAUAGUAAAAAUGUUCCCACUACAUGUAUGUUUAUUACUAGGAUGAAACUCUUGCGAAUUGCGACGCAUGGGUCCUUUAGAAACAGCUUGUUCUGCCUACUGUGGUUGUUAGGGGGAACAAGAAGGUUUUUAUUAUUUAAGAAACUGAUUCAUGGGCU